UACGGGGGGGGCAAGCGUUGUUCGGAAUUACUGGGCGUAAAGGGCUCGUAGGUGGCCAACUAAGUCAGACGUGAAAUCCCUCGGCUUAACCGGGGAACUGCGUCUGAUACUGGAUGGCUUGAGCAAGCUAGGGGGCAAUGGAAUUCCCGGUGUAGUGGUGGAAUGCGUAGAUAUCGGGAGGAACACCAGUGGCGAAGGCGGUUGCCUGGAGCUUUGCUGACGCUGAGGCGCGAAAGCGUGGGGAGCGAUCCGG
rnacentral:rRNA from 1 species